rnacentral:rRNA from 1 species
CAGCCGCCGCGGUAAUACGAAGGGGGCUAGCGUUGCUCGGAAUGACUGGGCGCAAAGGGCGCGUAGGCGGCGAUCAAAGUCAGGCGUGAAAUUCCUGGGCUCAACCUGGGGGCUGCGCUUGAUACUGGGUUGCUUGAGUGGGGAAGAGGGUCGUGGAAUUCCCAGUGUAGAGGUGAAAUUCGUAGAUAUUGGGAAGAACACCGGUGGCGAAGGCGGCGACCUGGUCCUUUACUGACGCUGAGGCGCGAAAGCGUGGGGAGCAAACAGGAUUAGAUACCCCGGUAGUCCCUGUCUCUUAUAC